rnacentral:rRNA from 1 species
AAUCAAGCGCGAAAAGGGCGUUUGGUGAAUGCCUUGGCAGUAAGAGGCGAUGAAGGACGUGAUACUCUGCGAUAAGUUAUGGGGAGCUGAGAAUAAGCUUUGAUCCAUAAAUUUCCGAAUGGGGCAACCCACCUGAUACUUUGUUAUUAAUACUACUUAUUGUAGUGCCGUUUAAGGGUUCGCCCUUGGGUAGCGUUGCAUGCGGUGGGGCAUAAUAAUAGGGUAAACCAGGUAUUUAUAACUUGAAUACAUAGGGUUAUAAAAGCAAACCCGGGGAACUGAAACAUCUAAGUACCCGGAGGAAAGGACAUCAAUUAGAUACUCCCCUAGUAGCGGCGAGCGAACGGGGACCAGCCGAGCCAUGAGUGUGACUAGAAUGUGUUGGAAAGCACAACCAAAGUGGGUGACAGUCCCGUAUAGGAAGCAUGAUUGGACGUAUUAAGUAGGGCGGGACACGUGAAAUCCUGUUCGAAGAUCGGAGGACCACCUCCGAAGGCUAAGUACUCCUUACUGACCGAUAGUGAACCAGUACCGUGAGGGAAAGGUGAAAAGCACCCCGACGAGGGGAGUGAAACAGUUUCUGAAACCGGACGCCUACAAUCAGUUGGAGGGCCCUUGCGGCCUGACAGCGUACCUUUUGUAUAAUGGGUCAUCGACUUAGUGUAUCUAGCAAGCUUAAGCCGUUAGGUGUAGGCGCAGCGAAAGCGAGUCUUAAUAGGGCGAUUGAGUUAGAUGCAUUAGACCCGAAACCGAGUGAUCUAGGCAUGACCAGGUUGAAGGUUGGGUAACACCAACUGGAGGACCGAACCCACAUCUGUUGAAAAAGAUCGGGAUGAGUUGUGCCUAGGGGUGAAAGGCCAAUCAAACUCGGAGAUAGCUGGUUCUCCGCGAAAUCUAUUUAGGUAGAGCGUCAUCCGAAUACCCCGGGGGGUAGAGCACUGGAUGGGUAAUGGGGCCCCACAGGCUUACUGAUCCUAACCAAACUCCGAAUACCCGGGAGUAAUAGAUGGCAGACACACUGCGGGUGCUAACGCCCGUAGUGAAAAGGGAAACAACCCUGACCGACAGUUAAGGCCCCUAAUUCAUGGCUAAGUGGGAAAGCAGGUGGGACGACCAAAACAACCAGGAAGUUGGCUUAGAAGCAGCCAUCUUUUAAAGAUAGCGUAACAGCUCACUGGUCUAAUUAAGUUGUCCUGCGGCGAAGAUGUAACGGGGCUCAAGCCAUGAGCCGAAACUUCGGAUGCAUUUAAUGCAUGGUAGCGGAGCGUAGUGUGACAUAGUUCCAUGCGU